GACGAACGCUGGCGGCGUGCUUAACACAUGCAAGUCGAGCGGUAAGGCCCUUUCGGGGGUACACGAGCGGCGAACGGGUGAGUAACACGUGGGUGACCUGCCCUCAGCUCUGGGAUAAGCCUGGGAAACCGGGUCUAAUACUGGAUAUGACUCCAUGACGCAUGUUGUGGGGUGGAAAGCCUUGUGCGGCUGAGGAUGGGCCCGCGGCCUAUCAGCCUGUUGGUGGGGUGANGGCCUACCAAGGCGACGACGGGUAGCCGGCCUGAGAGGGCGACCGGCCACACUGGGACUGAGACACGGCCCAGACUCCUACGGGAGGCAGCAGUGGGGAAUCUCGCGCAAUGGGCGAAAGCCUGACGCAGCGACGCCGCGUGAGGGAUGACGGCCUGG
rnacentral:rRNA from 1 species